rnacentral:rRNA from 1 species
CCUACGGGAGGCUGCAGUGAGGAAUAUUGGUCAAUGGACGCAAGCCUGAACCAGCCAUGCCGCGUGCAGGAAGACUGCUCUAUGAGUUGUAAACUUCUUUUGUACGAGGGUAAACUCAGAUACGCGUAUCUGUCUGAAAGUAUCGUACGAAUAAGGAUCGGCUAACUCCGUGCCAGCAGCCGCGGUAAUACGGAGGAUUCAAGCGUUAUCCGGAUUUAUUGGGUUUAAAGGGUGCGUAGGCGGUCGGAUCAGUUAGAGGUGAAAUCCCGAGGCUCAACUUCGGAAUUGCCUCUGAUACUGGUCGGCUAGAGAGCAGUUGCGGUAGGCGGAAUGUAUGGUGUAGCGGUGAAAUGCUUAGAGAUCAUACAGAACACCGAUUGCGAAGGCAGCUUACCAAGCUACUUCUGACGUUGAGGCACGAAAGCGUGGGGAGCAAACAGGAUUAGAUACCCUAGUAGUC